rnacentral:rRNA from 1 species
AAAUUGAAGAGUUUGAUCAUGGCUCAGAUUGAACGCUGGCGGCAGGCCUAACACAUGCAAGUCGAACGGUAACAGGAAGCAGCUUGCUGCUUCGCUGACGAGUGGCGGACGGGUGAGUAAUGUCUGGGAAACUGCCUGAUGGAGGGGGAUAACUACUGGAAACGGUAGCUAAUACCGCAUAAUGUCGCAAGACCAAAGAGGGGGACCUUCGGGCCUCUUGCCAUCGGAUGUGCCCAGAUGGGAUUAGCUUGUUGGUGGGGUAACGGCUCACCAAGGCGACGAUCCCUAGCUGGUCUGAGAGGAUGACCAGCCACACUGGAACUGAGACACGGUCCAGACUCCUACGGGAGGCAGCAGUGGGGAAUAUUGCACAAUGGGCGCAAGCCUGAUGCAGCCAU